ACGAGUGAGUAACACGUGGGAACAUGCCUUUUGGUUCGGCACAACUCAGGGAAACUUGAGCUAAUUCCGGAUACGCCCGUAAGGGGAAAGAUUUAUCGCCAAAAGAUUGGCCCGCGUAAGAUUAGCUAGUUGGUGGGGUAACGGCUCACCAAGGCAACGAUCUUUAGCUGGUUUGAGAGAACGACCAGCCACGUUGGGACUGAGACACGGCCCAAACUCCUACGGGAGGCAGCAGUGGGGAAUCUUGGACAAUGGGGGAAACCCUGAUCCAGCGAUGCCGCGUGAGUGAUGAAGGCCUUCGGGUUGUAAAACUCUUUCGACGGGGACGAUAAUGACGGUACCCGUAGAAGAAGCUCCGGCUAACUUCGUGCCAGCAGCCGCGGUAAUACGAAGGGGGCUAGCGUUGUUCGGAAUUACUGGGCGUAAAGCGCGCGCAGGCGGCCAUUCAAGUCAGGGGUGAGAGCCCAGAGCUCAACUCUGGAACUGCCUUUGAAACUGUAUGGCUUGAGUAUGAGAGAGGUGAGUGGAAUUCCCAGUGUAGAGGUGAAAUUCGUAGA
rnacentral:rRNA from 1 species